GUUCCAUUGACAAUUUGUGAAAUUUUAGAAUUCUCUUUAAAAGAAGUUUCUAAACUUUCUAUUUUCUAAAUUAAUAUCUUUUUUUCCAAAAGUUUUUAUUUAAAUCUUUAGAAUAUAGAAGUCUUCUUUAAUACAAACUCUUAUUACAAGAAGUUUCUAUAAAGUAAGUUUCUAAUUGUAAAAAGAAAAUUUCUGUUUUCUUAUAAAGUUUUUUAGAAGAUUAAAUAGUUUUAAGAAAGAAAUAAAAUUCCUAAUAAGUUACUACGUAGGUUUUUUUUCACAAUUGUAUUCAAUUUUUAGGGUUUUUUAAAGCCUAUAAAUAAAGUUAAUUGAUGUAAAUGGGAUUAAUGAAUGAUUGAUUAUGAUAAUAUUAAGAUUUUUUGCAUACACUGCAAUUUUCAAUGAUAAGAUUUCAUUGCUUUUCUCUUACGUCAGAGGCCUUAGUGAGACUCUAAGGUUUCCAAUCUUCCUUUUUUAUCUUUUAUUUUGCUAUCUUUUUUUUCUUUUUUUUCCUAUUGCUAUAAUUUCAUUCUUUUUCACCUCCUUAAAUCCUAAAAGAUUGAAGCCCUAGCCCACCUUAUUUGAUCGUCCUACAUCACCUCCACUGCUAGCAGCCUCUCAACAAGGGAACCACCUCAUUAGUCACAAUUUCUCCCUCUUGGCUAUUUUUGGAUACCAAAAGUUGUGGUAGCCUCCUUCAUCAUUAUUGUAAUACCUAGCACUAAUGAAUUAAAUAGGCAAUAAUGAUUAUCUUAGUACUUAACUUUAAACGUGCUUAAUUAGAUGUUAAAACUAGUUUAGUGUUAAUCUUGUUUAAUUAUGAAUUAAACUUUGAUUAAGGUUAAGUGAGAUUAGUUAAUGACUCAAGCAUGCUUAUUAGGUUCUUAGAGGCUGAUUAGAGUUAUGAAAACCUAAAGGACUAAUGGGCAAUUAUAGGUUUAAUAUUGGUUAAUUUGGAGGACUGAAGUGAAAAAUUGGAAAGUUGGGGU
rnacentral:lncRNA from 1 species